rnacentral:rRNA from 1 species
AGUGAACGCUGGCGGUAGGCCUAACACAUGCAAGUCGAACGGCAGCACAGUAAGAGCUUGCUCUUACGGGUGGCGAGUGGCGGACGGGUGAGGAAUAAAUCGGCAUCUACUUUUUCGUGGGGGAUAACGUAGGGAAACUUACGCUAAUACCGCAUACGACCUACGGGUGAAAGCAGGGGAUCUUCGGACCUUGCGCGAUUGAAUGAGCCGAUGUCGGAUUAGCUAGUUGGCGGGGUAAAGGCCCACCAAGGCGACGAUCCGUAGCUGGUCUGAGAGGAUGAUCAGCCACACUGGAACUGAGACACGGUCCAGACUCCUACGGGAGGCAGCAGUGGGGAAUAUUGGACAAUGGGCGAAAGCCUGAUCCAGCCAUGCCGCGUGGGUGAAGAAGGCCUUCGGGUUGUAAAGCCCUUUUGUUGGGAAAGAAAAGCAGCAGGUUAAUACCCCGCUGUUCUGACGGUACCCAAAGAAUAAGCACCGGCUAACUUCGUG